GAUGAACGCUGGCGGCGUGCCUAAUACAUGCAAGUCGAGCGAACGGACGAGAAGCUUGCUUCUCUGAUGUUAGCGGCGGACGGGUGAGUAACACGUGGAUAACCUACCUAUAAGACUGGGAUAACUUCGGGAAACCGGAGCUAAUACCGGAUAAUAUUUUGAACCGCAUGGUUCAAAAGUGAAAGGCGGUCUUGCUGUCACUUAUAGAUGGAUCCGCGCUGCAUUAGCUAGUUGGUAAGGUAACGGCUUACCAAGGCAACGAUGCAUAGCCGACCUGAGAGGGUGAUCGGCCACACUGGAACUGAGACACGGUCCAGACUCCUACGGGAGGCAGCAGUAGGGAAUCUUCCGCAAUGGGCGAAAGCCUGACGGAGCAACGCCGCGUGAGUGAUGAAGGUCUUCGGAUCGUAAAACUCUGUUAUUAGGGAAGAACAUAUGUGUAAGUAACUGUGCACAUCUUGACGGUACCUAAUCAGAAAGCCACGGCUAACUACGUG
rnacentral:rRNA from 1 species